rnacentral:snRNA from 1 species
CACAUCAGCUUGUGGUAUAC